GAUGAACGCUAGCUACAGGCUUAACACAUGCAAGUCGAGGGGUAACGAGAGGAAAGCUUGCUUUCCUUGUCGACGACCGGCGCACGGGUGAGUAACGCGUAUCCAACCUGCCUCCAACUAGGGAAUAACCUUGCGAAAGUAAGACUAAUACCCUAUAAUUUCCUCAGAUGACAUCUGACGAGGAAUAAAGAUUUAUCGGUUGUGGAUGGGGAUGCGUCUGAUUAGCUUGUUGGCGGGGUAACGGCCCACCAAGGCAACGAUCAGUAGGGGUUCUGAGAGGAAGAUCCCCAACAUUGGAACUGAGACACGGUCCAAACUCCUACGGGAGGCAGCAGUGAGGAAUAUUGGUCAAUGGGCGGAAGCCUGAACCAGCCAAGUAGCGUGCAGGAUGACGGCCCUAUGGGUUGUAAACUGCUUUUAUACAGGAAUAAAGUUAGCCACGUGUGGUUAUUUGUAGGUACUGUAUGAAUAAGGACCGGCUAAUUCCGUGCCAGCCGCCGCGGUAA
rnacentral:rRNA from 1 species